rnacentral:rRNA from 1 species
GACGAACGCUGGCGGCGUGCCUAAUACAUGCAAGUCGAGCGGACCGAACGGAAGCUUGCUUCUGUUUGGUUAGCGGCGGACGGGUGAGUAACACGUGGGUAACCUGCCCGUAAGACCGGGAUAACUCCGGGAAACCGGGGCUAAUACCGGAUAACACCGAAGACCGCAUGGUCUUUGGUUGAAAGGUGGCUUUUGCUACCACUUACGGAUGGGCCCGCGGCGCAUUAGCUAGUUGGUGAGGUAACGGCUCACCAAGGCGACGAUGCGUAGCCGGCCUGAGAGGGUGACCGGCCACACUGGGACUGAGACACGGCCCAGACUCCUACGGGAGGCAGCAGUAGGGAAUCUUCCGCAAUGGACGAAAGUCUGACGGAGCAACGCCGCGUGAGUGAAGAAGGUUUUCGGAUCGUAAAACUCUGUUUUCAGGGACGAAUGUGCAAUAUGUAAAUAAUGUAUUGUAAUGACGGUACCUGACAAGAAAGCCACGGCUAACUACGUGCCAGCCGCCGCCGUAAGAC